rnacentral:rRNA from 1 species
GGGGAAUAUUGCACAAUGGGGGAAACCCUGAUGCAGCGACGCCGCGUGGAGGAAGAAGGUCUUCGGAUUGUAAACUCCUGUUGUUGAGGAAGAUAAUGACGGUACUCAACAAGGAAGUGACGGCUAACUACGUGCCAGCAGCCGCGGUAAAACGUAGGUCACAAGCGUUGUCCGGAAUUACUGGGUGUAAAGGGAGCGCAGGCGGGAAGACAAGUUGGAAGUGAAAUCUAUGGGCUCAACCCAUAAACUGCUUUCAAAACUGUUUUUCUUGAGUAGUGCAGAGGUAGGCGGAAUUCCCGGUGUAGCGGUGGAAUGCGUAGAUAUCGGGAGGAACACCAGUGGCGAAGGCGGCCUACUGGGCACCAACUGACGCUGAGGCUCGAAAGUGUGGGUAGCAAACAGGAUUAGAUACCCUGGUAGUCCACACCGUAAACGAUGAUUACUAGGUGUUGGAGGAUUGACCCCUUCAGUGCCGCAGUUAACACAAUAAGUAAUCCACCUGGGGAGUACGACCGCAAGGUUGAAACUCAAAGGAAUUGACGGGGGCCCGCACAAGCAGUGGAGUAUGUGGUUUAAUUCGACGCAACGCGAAGAACCUUACCAAGUCUUGACAUCCUGCGACGAUNCUAGAAAUAGUAUUUUCCUUCGGGACGCAGAGACAGGUGGUGCAUGGUUGUCGUCAGCUCGUGUCGUGAGAUGUUGGGUUAAGUCCCGCAACGAGCGCAACCCUUAUGGUCAGUUACUACGCAAGAGGACUCUGGCCAGACUGCCGUUGACAAAACGGAGGAAGGUGGGG